rnacentral:rRNA from 1 species
CCCUUAGAUGUUCUGGGCCGCACACGCGCUACACUGAAGGAGGCAGCGUGUACUCCUGGAUCGAAAGAUUUGGGUAACCCGCGAAUCUCCUUCGUGCUAGGGAUUGAGGUUUGCAAUUAUCCUUCAUGAACGAGGAAUUCCCAGUAAGUGCAAGUCAUAAGCUUGCGCUGACUACGUCCCUGCCCUUUGUACACACCGCCCGUCGCUCCUACCGAUUGAAUGGUCCGGUGAAGCGUUCGGACCGUGGCCUUUGGACGGUUCGCCGUCUGUUGGCUGCGGGAAGUUCGUUAAACCUUAUCAUUUAGAGGAAGGAGCAGUCGUAACA